UACGUAGGGACCAAGCGUUGUUCGGAUUUACUGGGCGUAAAGGGCGCGUAGGCGGCGUGACAAGUCACUUGUGAAAUCUCCGGGCUUAACUCGGAACGGUCAGCUGAUACUGCUUUGCUAGAGUGCAGAAGGGGCAAUCGGAAUUCUUGGUGUAGCGGUGAAAUGCGUAGAUAUCAAGAGGAACACCUGAGGUGAAGACGGGUUGCUGGGCUGACACUGACGCUGAGGCGCGAAAGCUAGGGUAGCAAACGGG
rnacentral:rRNA from 1 species